UGAGUUGGCCAUCUGAGUGAG
rnacentral:miRNA from 2 species